AGCGAACGCUGGCGGCAGGCUUAACACAUGCAAGUCGAGCGGGCACUUUCGGGUGUCAGCGGCGGACGGGUGAGUAACGCGUGGGAACGUGCCCUCUGGUUCGGAAUAACUCAGGGAAACUUGAGCUAAUACCGGAUACGCCCUUUUGGGGAAAGGCUUGCUGCCGGAGGAUCGGCCCGCGUCUGAUUAGCUAGUUGGUGAGGUAACGGCACACCAAGGCGACGAUCAGUAGCUGGUCUGAGAGGAUGAUCAGCCACACUGGGACUGAGACACGGCCCAGACUCCUACGGGAGGCAGCAGUGGGGAAUAUUGGACAAUGGGCGCAAGCCUGAUCCAGCCAUGCCGCGUGAGUGAUGAAGGCCUUAGGAUUGUAAAGCUCUUUUAUCCAGGACGAUAAUGACGGUACCGGAGGAAUAAGCCCCGGCUAACUUCGUG
rnacentral:rRNA from 1 species